rnacentral:rRNA from 1 species
GCGUAAAGGGUAAGUAGGUGAAAGGGACUUGAAAAAUGAAAGACUAAAUUGUAAUUUUUGAUGUUUUUUAAAAAACUUUCUUGGAUAUCCAUGUGUAAAUGAACGUACUAAGGAAAGGUUAAAUUUGUAGAUUAUAGGGGCGGACAGAUCUGAAAAGGAUUUACUGUAAGAUAAUGACGCUAAGGAACGAAGGGAGGGGAGCAAAUGGGAUUAGAUACCCCAGUAGUCGUUCUGUCAACGCUGAGUUUUCAAUGUUAGAAUAAAUUAAAUUUAUUUUAGUGUUUGAGCUAACGAUUAAAUUCUCCGCCUGGGAAGUACGAUCGCAAGAUUGAAAUCAAAAGAAUUGACGGUGACUUGUACAAAG